rnacentral:rRNA from 1 species
GAUCCCUGGCUCAGGACGAACGCUGGCGGCGUGCCUAAUACAUGCAAGUCGAGCGGAGUUGAUGAGGUGCUUGCACCUCUGAUACUUAGCGGCGGACGGGUGAGUAACACGUGGGUAACCUGCCUGUAAGACUGGGAUAACAUUCGGAAACGAAUGCUAAUACCGGAUACGCGAUUUGGUCGCAUGAUCGAAUCGGGAAAGAUGGAGCAAUCUAUCACUUACAGAUGGACCCGCGGCGCAUUAGCUAGUUGGUGAGGUAACGGCUCACCAAGGCGACGAUGCGUAGCCGACCUGAGAGGGUGAUCGGCCACACUGGGACUGAGACACGGCCCAGACUCCUACGGGAGGCAGCAGUAGGGAAUCUUCCGCAAUGGACGAAAGUCUGACGGAGCAACGCCGCGUGAGUGAUGAAGGUUUUCGGAUCGUAAAGCUCUGUUGCCAGGGAAGAAUGCUUGGGAGAGUAACUGCUCYCAAGGUGACGGUACCUGAGAAGAAAGCCCCG